GGAAUAUAAAAACCCGUCUUUUAACUUUUAUCUAAAAAAACUGAUAUUUAAGAGUCGGUUCUUAGCUUUUUUAGAUAAAAGUUAAGAGACAGGUUUUUAUAUUCC
rfam:Brassica napus, WGS project CCCW01000000 data, contig: 1759